UGAUUGUCUCGUGAGUAAAUUGUUAAAUGUGAAUAUAAGAUACAAUGUAUAUAGUAUUAUAGUUGCACUUUUUUUCUUGAUGAAUUUCUGAUCUCCACAUACAAUGUAAUGUUAAAGAUGUGCACAAUGUGCUCAGUUCUCGCAUACUAGAUUCAGAUCAUGUACUGGAGUAGGCAUGUAAUCGGAUACUCCACCUCAGAUUGUGUGUAGCUGCUGAGUGCAGUGAAUUGAUGCCCACUGCGCUGCUCAGUAAAUAGUAAAUACCGGUACAUUUUCUCAUCUCUCUCUCUCUCUCUCUCUCUCCCUGCACUGCUACUAGGUGUUGUCAAAUAUUCUGAAUGUGGCAGAGAAAUAAGUUCUGAUUACCAUCUCUUUUUGAUUCAGAAAAUUUCAGGAGUUUGAGAAAGAUCUACCUGGCCAGCUCAGUCGCAGUACUUCACAAGAGCAUAGAGAUCGAGAGAAGGAAGUCAGAGGGGCAGUUUGGAAUUUACAGAUCCGGAAAAUCGGCAUAAUUAUUCACCUGAGCACACAUCACCAUUUCAAG